GUUCCAGGAGGCCCGUGACUGGCAUGAAGAUGAAGUUGGUCUUCUCAGGUGUCCAUCACAGGAUCGGCCCUUCCUCAGGACUGGCAGGAACAGCGAGAUGCACUCGUCCACCGCAGCGCCACCUACUGACCAGACCGGUUCAGCAUCUACUGCGACUUCAAGGGGGACCACCGCUGCCCCCAUACACCCGGUGUAUGGAAGCCGCCUGUCCUGCGGAGAUCGAGAUCCUUCCAGCGUCGCCCCACAGUCAG